rnacentral:rRNA from 1 species
UACAGAGGGGGCAAGCGUUGUCCGGAUUUACUGGGCGUACAGCGCGCGCAGGCGGAACUGGACGUGCCGUGUGACAAACCACCGCUCACCGGUGGAGGGCCACGGUACACGACAGUUCUGGAGGCAGGGAGAGGGAUGUGGAAUGCCCGGUGGAGCGGUGAAAUGCGUAGAGAUCGGGCGGAACACCAGCGGCGAAGGCGGCAUCCUGGUCCUGACCUGACGCUGAGGCGCGAGAGCGUGGGGAGCAAACUGG